rnacentral:rRNA from 1 species
GGGUUGUGAGGUUAAGCGACUAAGCGUACACGGUGGAUGCCCUGGCAGUCAGAGGCGAUGAAGGGCGUGCUAAUCUGCGAUAAGCGCCGGUAAGGUGAUAUGAACCGUUAUAACCGGCGAUACCCGAAUGGGGAAACCCAGUGUGACUCGUCACACUAUCAUUAACUGAAUCCAUAGGUUAAUGAGGCGAACCGGGGGAACUGAAACAUCUAAGUACCCCGAGGAAAAGAAAUCAACCGAGAUUCCCCCAGUAGCGGCGAGCGAACGGGGAGGAGCCCAGAGCCUGAAUCAGCAUGUGUGUUAGUGGAAGCGUCUGGAAAGGCGCGCGAUACAGGGUGACAGCCCCGUACACAAAAGCGCAUGUGCUGUGAGCUCGAUGAGUAGGGCGGGACACGUGGUAUCCUGUCUGAAUAUGGGGGGACCAUCCUCCAAGGCUAAAUACUCCUGACUGACCGAUAGUGAACCAGUACCGUGAGGGAAAGGCGAAAAGAACCCCGGCGAGGGGAGUGAAAAAGAACCUGAAACCGUGUACGUACAAGCAGUGGGAGCACCCUUUGGGUGUGACUGCGUACCUUUUGUAUAAUGGG